AGCAGAGUGGCGCAGUGGAAGCGUGCUGGGCCCAUAACCCAGACGUCCGAGGAUCGAAACCUUGUUCUGAUA
rfam:Nematostella vectensis strain CH2 x CH6 NEMVEscaffold_523_Cont29317, whole genome shotgun sequence.